CGUAGGUGCGAGCGUUGUCCGGAAUUACUGGGCGUAAGAGCUCGUAGGUGGUUGUCGCGUCGUCUGUGAAAUUCCGGGCUUAACUCCGGGCGUGCAGGCGAUACGGGCAAUACUUGAGUGCUGUAGGGAGACUGGAAUUCCUGGUGUAGCGGUGAAUGCGCAGAUAUCAGGAGGAACACCAAUGGCGAAGGCAGGUCUCUGGGCAGUAACUGACGCUGAGGAGCGAAAGCAUGGGUAGCGAACAGGAUU
rnacentral:rRNA from 1 species